AUACGUAGGUGGCAAGCGUUGUCCGGAAUUAUUGGGCGUAAAGCGCGCGCAGGUGGUUCCUUAAGUCUGAUGUGAAAGCCCCCGGCUCAACCGGGGAGGGUCAUUGGAAACUGGGGAACUUGAGUGCAGAAGAGGAUAGUGGAAUUCCAAGUGUAGCGGUGAAAUGCGUAGAGAUUUGGAGGAACACCAGUGGCGAAGGCGACUGUCUGGUCUUUAACUGACACUGAGGCGCGAAAGCGUGGGGAGCAAACAGGAUUAGAUACCCUGGUAGUCCACGCCGUAAACGAUGAGUGCUAAGUGUUGGGGGGUUUCCGCCCCUCAGUGCUGCAGCUAACGCAUUAAGCACUCCGCCUGGGGAGUACGGUCGCAAGACUGAAACUCAAAUGAAUUGACGGGG
rnacentral:rRNA from 1 species